rnacentral:tRNA from 1 species
AAAAAAAUAGUUAAAUUUAUAACAAUUCUUUGUCAAAGAGUAGUUACUUUG